UAUGGAGAGUUUGAUCCUGGCUCAGGACGAACGCUGGCGGCGUGCCUAAUACAUGCAAGUCGAGCGGACGGAUGGGAGCUUGCUCCCUGAAGUCAGCGGCGGACGGGUGAGUAACACGUGGGCAACCUGCCUGUAAGACUGGGAUAACUUCGGGAAACCGGAGCUAAUACCGGAUAAUGCACAGCCUCUCAUGAGGCUAUGCUGAAAGAUGGUUUCGGCUAUCACUUACAGAUGGGCCCGCGGCGCAUUAGCUAGUUGGUGAGGUAACGGCUCACCAAGGCAACGAUGCGUAGCCGACCUGAGAGGGUGAUCGGCCACACUGGGACUGAGACACGGCCCAGACUCCUACGGGAGGCAGCAGUAGGGAAUCUUCCGCAAUGGACGAAAGUCUGACGGAGCAACGCCGCGUGAGUGAUGAAGGUUUUCGGAUCGUAAAACUCUGUUGUCAGGGAAGAACAAGUGCCGGAGUAACUGCCGGCACCUUGACGGUACCUGACCAGAAAGCCACGGCUAACUACGUGCCAGCAGCCGCGGUAAUACGUAGGUGGCAAGCGUUGUCCGGAAUUAUUGGGCGUAAAGCGCGCGCAGGCGGUCUCUUAAGUCUGAUGUGAAAGCCCACGGCUCAACCGUGGAGGGUCAUUGGAAACUGGGGGACUUGAGUGCAGAAGAGGAAAGUGGAAUUCCACGUGUAGCGGUGAAAUGCGUAGAGAUGUGGAGGAACACCAGUGGCGAACGCGACUUUCUGGUCUGUAACUGACGCUGAUGCGCGAAAGCGUGGGGAGCAAACAGAUUAGAUACCCUGGUAGUCCACGCCGUAACGAUGAGUGCUAAGUGUUAGAGGGUUUCCGCCCUUUAGUGCUGCAGCAA
rnacentral:rRNA from 1 species